UGAACCGGGAUGAAGCUCAAAUUUAAAAUCUGGCGUCUUUCAGGCGUCCGAGUUGUAAUCUAUAGAGGCGUUUUCCGCGCCGGACCGCGUCCAAGUCUCUUGGAAUAGAGUAUCAAAGAGGGUGACAAUCCCGUACUUGACGCGACAACCGGUGCUCUGUGAUACGUUCUCAAUGAGUCGAGUUGUUUGGGAAUGCAGCUCUAAAUGGGUGGUAAAUUCCAUCUAAGGCUAAAUAUUGGCGAGAGACCGAUAGCGAACAAGUACCGUGAGGGAAAGAUGAAAAGCACUUUGGAAAGAGAGUUAAACAGCACGUGAAAUUGUUAAAAGGGAAACGAUUGAAGUCAGUCGUGUGAAAGGUAUUCAGCCGUCUCUGGCGGUGUAUUUGCCUUUCACGGGUCAACAUCAGUUUGAUCCGGUAGAAAAAGGCGGGAGGAAGGUGGCACCCUCGGGUGUGUUAUAGCCUCCUGUCAUAUGUGCCGGACCAGACUGAGGAACGCAGCUUGCCGCAAGGCCGGGGUUCGCCCACGUACAAGCUUAGGAUGUUGACAUAAUGGCUUUAAACGACCCGUC
rnacentral:rRNA from 1 species